UAGCAUAUCAAUAAGCGGAGGAAAAGAAACCAACAGGGAUUGCCCUAGUAACGGCGAGUGAAGCGGCAACAGCUCAAAUUUGAAAUCUGGCGUCUUUGGCGUCCGAGUUGUAAUUUGCAGAGGGCGCUUUGGCAUUGGCAGCGGUCCAAGUUCCUUGGAACAGGACGUCACAGAGGGUGAGAAUCCCGUACGUGGUCGCUAGCCUUUACCGUGUAAAGCCCCUUCGACGAGUCGAGUUGUUUGGGAAUGCAGCUCUAAAUGGGAGGUAAAUUUCUUCUAAAGCUAAAUACUGGCCAGAGACCGAUAGCGCACAAGUAGAGUGAUCGAAAGAUGAAAAGCACUUUGGAAAGAGAGUUAAAAAGCACGUGAAAUUGUUGAAAGGGAAGCGCUUGCAGCCAGACUUGCCUGUAGUUGCUCAUCCGGGUUUUUACCCGGUGCACUCUUCUAUAGGCAGGCCAGCAUCAGUUUGGGCGGUUGGAUAAAGGUCUCUGUCAUGUACCUCUCUUCGGGGAGAACUUAUAGGGGAGACGACAUGCAACCAGCCUGGACUGAGGUCCGCGCAUCUGCUAGGAUGCUGGCGUAAUGGCUGUAAGCGGCCCGUCUUGAAACACGGACCAAGGAGUCUAACAUCUAUGCGAGUGUUUGGGUGUCAAGCCCGAGCGCGUAAUGAAAGUGAACGGAGGUGGGAACCUUUCGGGGUGCACCAUCGACCGAUCCUGAUGUCUUCGGAUGGAUUUGAGUAAGAGCAUAGCUGUUGGGACCCGAAAGAUGGUGAACUAUGCUUGAAUAGGGUGAAGCCAGAGGAAACUCUGGUGGAGGCUCGCAGCGGUUCUGACGUGCAAAUCGAUCGUCAAAUUUGGGCAUAGGGGCGAAAGACUAAUCGGAGCUAUCUAGUAGCUGGUUCCUGCCGAUCUUCUCCCUCUCCCCGUAGA
rnacentral:rRNA from 1 species